CAGAUGUUAGAGGGGUUCCAAGGAAGGCCGAGGAGCGCUGGAUGAAAGAAGACUGCACUCACUGCAUUUGUGAGAGUGGCCAGGUCACCUGUGUGGUGGAGAUUUGUCCCCCGGCUCCCUGUCCCAGUCCUGAAUUGGUGAAAGGAACCUGCUGUCCAGUUUGCAGAGACCGAGGAAUGCCAAGUGAUUCCCCAGAGAAGCGCUAAUAAAAGUUUUGUGCUGUUGAGCCCCAAAUGGGAAAUUUCUCAGGAAGAGACAUUUAGGACUUCAGAACUUUUAACUUGUAGUCACAUUGUUGAUAUGGAAACCACUGACUUAAGCAACUUAGUUCAUCUAAUCUUACAUAUACUUACGAUCUUUUAUUUUUUCAUUUUCUAACAUACCUUGAAAUAAUUCAAAACUAAAAGCAAUAAAGUGCAUAUGAAGUGUUUGAUCAUAAGAAAUAUUUCUUACUGUAAGCUGUCAGUUUUAUAUGCCACACCUGGAAAUAAAAAGAAUAUCAUGG
rnacentral:lncRNA from 1 species